UACGUAGGAGGCGAGCGUUAUCCGGAUUUACUGGGCGUAAAGCGGGCGUAGGCGGCCUGUCAAGUCCGAUGUGAAAUCUCCCGGCUUAACUGGGAGGGUGCACCGGAUACUGAUGGGCUGGAGUGCAGCAGAGGGAGAUGGAAUUCCCGGUGUAGUGGUGAAAUGCGUAGAUAUCGGGAGGAACACUAGUGGCGAAGGCGGUCUCCUGGGCUGUAACUGACGCUGAGGUCCGAAGGCGCGGGGAGCAAACAGG
rnacentral:rRNA from 1 species